GAGGCGUCCCGGACAGCGGCUUGGUGGCGCGUAAUUCCCAAUGACUGUGCGCGCCCGCGUCUGGGCUCGUUUGCCAAGGACUCGGAAGCUGCAGCUCCCAGAGCACAGCGGGCAGAGCUGCGGGCUGUGCGCGCCCCUGCUGCCCCGGGCCUCCAGGGGUGGCUCCCGCGCCCCGCGGCGACUUCCGCGCCCGCGCUUCCCUUUGUUCAAGUCCCGGAGCGGCGUUGGGGUCCGAGCCCGUGCCCUGGGCGACUGAGGCGGCCGCAGUCCGCGCCCCGGCGCCCUGGCGAUGCCAGAACAGAUCUCCGUGUCGGAAUUCAUAGCCGAGACCCUUGAGGACUACAAGGCGCCCACGGCCUAUAGCUUCACCACGCGCACGGCCCAGUGCCGGGACACCAUGUCGGCCAUCGAGGAGGAUGCGGUGACUUAUGAUGAUGUGCAUGUGAACUUCACUGGGGAAGAGUGGAAUUUGCUGGAUCCUUCUCAGAAGAGUCUCUACAAAGAUAUGAUGCUGGAGACCUACUGGAACCUCACUGUUAUAGGCUACACUUGGGAAAACCAUCAUAUUAAAAGACAUUGUCAAAGUUCAAGAAGAAAUGAAAGCCCCUCUUCUCUUCCAGGUUUCCAAAAUGCCUUUCUAGGUUAGAACCCAGGCUGUGAUCUGCUGGCCAGACACAACAUUUGGCGAACCAGUGGGGGACUGAGAAAUGGCAAAGGAAUUUUGGAAGAGGCACUGCUGGUUUGGAGCUCCAUGGAAUAAUUAAAGGAUAAAGGAAAUUCAUACAGGAGAAGGUUCCACCAUCUGCCUGCACUUUGACCCCAUGGCUGUCAAAUCAGAACUCCUGGAAGCUAUUGAAUCUGGGGACUUUGAAACACUUUGAGAAAAUAUGGACAAGGUGGAGCACGGGGUAUCCGAGGUCAGUGAAGCUGGUCUGUAUACAUUGUAGAAGACAUGCAUCUGUGAACCCAGAACAUGCAGCUCAAAGCAUGAAUGCUGUGUAGGCUGUAGCCUGAGUGAGGGCAAUGAUGUCCAUGCUACAGAUGCCCCAUUCUGGUGGAGGGUGUUGACCAGAUGGCCCAGGGAAUGUCUCUGUGCCUGUCUCUCAAUGUUUCUAUGAGUCUAAAACUGCCCUAAAAUAAAGUCAGUUAAAAAUACAUAUGGGACCCAAGGAGCUAAAGGGGUUUGCCACCCCAUAGGAGAAACAAUAUGAACCAACAAGUACCCCCAGAGCUCCCUGGGACUAAACCACCAACAAAAAAGAAUCCCAUGGCUCCAGCUGCAUAUGUAGCAGACGAUGGCCUAGUCAGUCAUCAAUGGGAAGAAAGGCCGUUGGUCUUGUGAUGGUGCUAUGCCCUAGUAUAGGGGAAUGCCUGGGCCAGGAAUCAGGAGUGUGUGGGUUGGGGAGCAUAGGAAGGGGGGCGAGUUAUAGGUGAUUUUCAAAGGAGAAACAGGAAAGGGGAUGUUUGAAAUGUAAAAUAAUGAAAAUAUCUAAUAAAAUAUACAUAUGUGGACUGGUGGUGUGGCUCCAUGCUUAAGAGUUCUUACUGUUCUUUGAGCAGACUCUAGUUCAUUUCCUCCCUUUUUGAGAGGCUCACAAUCACUGAUAAUUCCAGCUCUGGGGGAUCGGAUGCCCUCUUCUGGCCUCCAUGGGCACCUGCACUAGCGUGCAUAUUCCCAACCUAACGUGCCCAUAUCUGUUAGGGAAGUACAUGGCUUUUCUAGUCCAGAUCUUGGAUUUUUGGUCUGAGUCUAAAUUCAGGGGUAGUCCUUUGUAAAGCACUGAGUAUUGAGUGCCUGCUUUGUUUAUAGCUACUGGUUAGGCACUGAUGCAAGGUAAUGAAUGAAGUGAUGCCCUCUUGACUUCAUGGUGUCCAGUCAACCUGGCUGGGUGGGAAGAGGGCAGACACCCAGUCUCCACCACUAUCCCUAGUCUGCAGAGCAAGGGAAGUCCUAGGUCCUCCUGCUCUUUAGAACAGACUCUGGGGCAAACCAGUGCUUUGUUCAGUAAGAACAUUGCAAGUAUGAUCAUUGCUGUGAAUGGAGAGACUGCACCAUAAGGGGAAACAGAGACAGUGCUGUAGCCUAGGAAGAGAAGUUGUGCUCGGGUGACAGGACUUUCCUGUCCCAUUCUGACUGCCACUUAGCUCUUGAGUCAAUUACUAGCCUCCCUGUGAGCCCCAUCUUCCAUCUCGAGGAAAUGGAGGUAACACUGGGCCUCCCUCCUUGGUCUGUCCUGAGGAUCUCAGGGGACAAUGACAGCUUUCAGUGAGGUACAAGACUAUUUAGGAACAGUCCCAUAAUACUGUUCACUGAGAAGAGGCCUCCAGUCCCCAUGUUGGGAACAGAAGUAGGAAAGAGAUGGCCUUCUGAGCUGGCUCUACAAGGGUGGCUAAGUUAUAUUCAUCAUGCUGACUGUGUGUAUCUUUGACCAGAUUGGUGAUGGUAGUGUGCUGUCUGAGUUGGGAUAUAUUUUUACUCCAUGUGUACAUUUUCUUUGUGCCAUUUUCUGAGCCAGCGAAGCACGUCUGGGCAGUAUGGGCUUUGAGGAAAAGGCCUGGUUCAGGUCACUCCCAAUAAAAUCCAGAGCAGGACCUUGGGUGCUCUUUGAGCCUUCCCAAGACCAGCCAGGAUACUCUAUCAAGCAUCCUAAUGACCAGAAAAGAAAAAGGUCUAGGAGCCACACACAGCUGCAUCUGGAUAGCCCAGUUACCUGAAUCCAUAGAGCAAUGGCCAUGACCAUCACCCACAUUGGCUUUGUGACAAUGUUAUUCCAGCUGAGGGUCACCAGUAUCUCACCAGGCUUCUGUUAAUGGGGGAUCAUAGGAAUUAAACACACACACACACACACACACAGAG
rnacentral:lncRNA from 1 species